AUAAUGGGUCAGCGACUUAUAUUCUGUAGCAAGGUUAACCGAAUAGGGGAGCCGAAGGGAAACCGAGUCUUAACUGGGCGUUAAGUUGCAGGGUAUAGACCCGAAACCCGGUGAUCUAGCCAUGGGCAGGUUGAAGGUUGGGUAACACUAACUGGAGGACCGAACCGACUAAUGUUGAAAAAUUAGCGGAUGACUUGUGGCUGGGGGUGAAAGGCCAAUCAAACCGGGAGAUAGCUGGUUCUCCCCGAAAGCUAUUUAGGUAGCGCCUCGUGAAUUCAUCUCCGGGGGUAGAGCACUGUUUCGGCAAGGGGGUCAUCCCGACUUACCAACCCGAUGCAAACUGCGAAUACCGGAGAAUGUUAUCACGGGAGACACACGGCGGGUGCUAACGUCCGUCGUGAAGAGGGAAACAACCCAGACCGCCAGCUAAGGUCCCAAAGUCAUGGUUAAGUGGGAAACGAUGUGGGAAGGCCCAGACAGCCAGGAUGUUGGCUUAGAAGCAGCCAUCAUUUAAAGAAAGCGUAAUAGCUCACUGGUCGAGUCGGCCUGCGCGGAAGAUGUAACGGGGCUAAACC
rnacentral:rRNA from 1 species